rnacentral:rRNA from 1 species
AUUGAACGCUGGCGGCAUGCCUAACACAUGCAAGUCGAACGGAGGUAGGGGCAACUCUACUUCAGUGGCGGACGGGUGAGGAAUGCGUCGGAAUCUACCCUAUGGUGGGGGAUAACACAGGGAAACUUGUGCUAAUACCGCAUAAUGUCGAGAGACCAAAGCAGGGGACCGCAAGGCCUUGCGCGAUAGGAUGAGCCGACGCCCGAUUAGCUAGUUGGUAGGGUAAAGGCCUACCAAGGCGACGAUCGGUAGCUGGUCUGAGAGGAUGAUCAGCCACACUGGGACUGAGACACGGCCCAGACUCCUACGGGAGGCAGCAGUGGGGAAUAUUGGACAAUGGGCGCAAGCCUGAUCCAGCAAUGCCGCGUGUGUGAAGAAGGCCUGCGGGUUGUAAAGCACUUUUGUUCGGGAAGAAAUCAUGCUGGUUAAUACCUGGUAUGGAUGACGGUACCGAAAGAAUAAGCACGGCUAACUUCGUGCCAGCA